AACGAACGCUGGCGGCAUGCCUAACACAUGCAAGUCGAACGAAGGCUUCGGCCUUAGUGGCGCACGGGUGAGUAACGCGUGGGAAACUGCCUAUUGGUGGGGAAUAACGACGGGAAACUGUCGCUAAUACCGCAUAAGCCCUUCGGGGGAAAGAUUUAUCGCCGAUAGAUGUGCCCGCGCCCGAUUAGCUAGUUGGUGGGGUAAUGGCUCACCAAGGCGACGAUCGGUAGCUGGUCUGAGAGGAUGAUCAGCCACACUGGGACUGAGACACGGCCCAGACUCCUACGGGAGGCAGCAGUGGGGAAUAUUGGACAAUGGGUGAAAGCCUGAUCCAGCAAUGCCGCGUGAGUGAUGAAGGCCUUAGGGUUGUAAAGCUCUUUCGGGUGGGACGAUGAUGACGGUACCACCAGAAGAAGCCCCGGCUAACUUCGUGCCAGCCGCCGCCGUAA
rnacentral:rRNA from 1 species